rnacentral:rRNA from 1 species
GACGAACGCUGGCGGCGUGCUUAACACAUGCAAGUCGAACGGAAAGGCCCUGCUUUUGUGGGGUGCUCGAGUGGCGAACGGGUGAGUAACACGUGAGUAACCUGCCCUUGACUUUGGGAUAACUUCAGGAAACUGGGGCUAAUACCGUAUAGGAGCUCCUGCUGCAUGGUGGGGGUUGGAACGUUUCGGCGGUUGGGGAUGGACUCGCGGCUUACCAGCUUGUUGGUGGGGUAGUGGCUUACCAAGGCUUUGACGGGUAGCCGGCCUGAGAGGGUGACCGGCCACAUUGGGACUGCGAUACGGCGCAGACUCCUACGGUAGGCAGCAGUGGGGAAUAUUGCACAAUGGGCGGAAGCCUGAUGCAGCAACGCCGCGUGCGGGAUGACGGCCUUCGGGUUGUAAACCGCUUUCGCCUGUGACGAAGCGUGAGUGACGGUAAUGGGUAAAGAAGCACCGGCUAACUACGUG